CACGUAGGCACCAAGCGUUGUCCGGAUUUAUUGGGCGUAAAGAGCUCGUAGGCGGUUCGGUUAGUCGGGUGUGAAAACUUUGGGCUCAACCCAAAGCGUGCACUCGAUACUGCCGUGACUAGAGUUCGGUAGGGGAGUGGGGAAUUCCUAGUGUAGCGGUGAAAUGCGCAGAUAUUAGGAGGAACACCGGUGGCGAAGGCGCCACUCUGGGCCGAAACUGACGCUGAGGAGCGAAAGCGUGGGUAGCAAA
rnacentral:rRNA from 1 species